rnacentral:lncRNA from 1 species
UUUGCUUCCCUUUCUACCAGAUUGCUGAAGGAAAGAUGUGAAUUUGCUGUGAAGGGAUAUUCUCCUCAAGGACACUUACCAUCUGUUUCCUGGGGAUAGGAAGAAUUGAUGAUAACCCAGAUCGAAGCUGCUUCUGCAGCCUGACCCCAGAACAAAGGAGCCAUGGAGCAGAGCUACAGAUACCCACAAGGGAAAUGUAAUGUAAGAGAGAAAUAAGCUUGUAGUAUUGCUGUGAUUUGGAGAGUCCUUUGUUACUGCAGUUUAACUGCCUAAGCCGACUGAUACACAGUAUUUCACAAUUUGCUUUUCUAACUCUAUUUCCCAUUAUUCCCUAACACUUAUUCCAACUCCUGCCAGACUGAACUACUUGCUUUUCCCCAAAGACCAACAAAUUUCUCCAACUCGAUGCAGUUAUUUGCUUCCUAUCUCCUGCCUGCCAACAAUACCUCUCAAAGUUUAAUUUCAACCUUCAAGUUCAUCUCAAGCGCUACUUUCUCUGUGCAGGGGUGUCUGAUCUUUUGGCUUCCUGGGCCACACAUAAGAUACACUAACACUAAUGAUGACUGGUGAGCUAAAAAAAAAAAAAAAAAAUCUCAUAAUGUCUAAAGAGAGUUUAUGAAUUUGUGUUGGCCCACAUGCAGCCUGCGGUACACAAGCUAGACAAGCUUGGUAAAAAGCCCUUCCCCAUUCCUUUGAUGCCAACUACUGUAACCUAUGUUUAUUGUUUUUACAUAUUUUCUUAUCACCUCCGCCAAGAAAAAAAUCAUAAACUCCUUGACAUUAAAGACUAUCUUAUUGGCCAAGUGCAGUCUCUCACACCUGUAAUCCCAGCACUUUGGGAGGCCGAGACAGGCGGGAUCACUUGAACUCAGGAGUUCGAGACCAGCCUGGCCAACAUGGUGAAACUAUGUCUACUAAAAAUACAAAAAUUAACCAAGAAUGGUAAUGUGCUUCUGUAAUCUAAGCUACUUGGGAGGCUGAAGCAGGAGAAUCACUUGAAACCCAGGAAGUGGAGGUUGCAGUUAGCCGAGAUCACACCACUGCACUCCAGCCUGGGAGACAGAGCAAGACUCUGUCUCAAAAAAAAAAAAAGACUAUCUUACUCACCACUGUAUUCCUUGAAGCUUUGCAAAUAGUAGGUAUCCACUCAAAUAUUUAUCAAAUUAGCACAUUCAAUUAGAGAACUGCUGUUUAAUAUGUUUACUUUUUUACAGGAAGAUUUUAAAGAACAUUUAACAUACUCAUUGGGGAAGCAAAAUUAAGAUACAAGAAGAAUUAAAAAUCAUAGCAAAUAGCAAAGAUUCCUACUGAGUAAAAUAUGGGCCAGGCACGGUGGCUCACAUCUGUAAUCCUAGCACUUUGGGAAGCUAAGGCAGGCAGAUUGCUUGAGGCCAGGAGUUCGAGACCAGCCUAGGCAAAAUAGCAAGACCUCAUUGCUACUAAAAAUCAAAAAACUUAGCCAGGCUUGUUGGUGUGCACCUGUAGUCCCAGCAACUUGAGAGGCUGAGGUGGGAGAAUCACUUGAGCCCUGGUAGUGGAGGUUGCAAUGAGCCAAGAUCAUGCCACUGUACUCCAGCCUGGGUGACAGAGCAAGACCCCAUCUCAAAAAAAUAAAUAAAUAAAAAUAAAGUAUAACUCAAAGUUUAAUGAAUCUCUUUCUCUCUCUCUCUCUCUCUCUCUGUAAAAAUAAGCAUGUCUUGACCUUCAUCUCUCUCCCUGGAUAUACUCAACAGAUCUUAAAGUAAAACUUCACCAAAGGGAAACAAUGUGUCACACGACUCACGAGUUACAACCCCUAUUGUUACAGUCCAUAUGCUAAAAGCAAGGAUUUUUCUAAUUAUGGAACAAAUUAGCUUAUGUAAAUUCUUAGGCGUAGGAAAAAUGUAUUUCCCUGCUUAUGAUUAAAAGCCAACAAAAUAUAAUUCCAAUUUUAAAACAAAUCCCCUUACCAAACCCCAACAGCAAAGUGCUGCCCCUACAAACCUCACAGCAAAUAGAGAGUCCUUAUUCUCAGUGACUAGCAGCUGCCUCUUUUCUCACUCCUCUCCAGCUUCAAUUAACCUAAUGCCCUCUGAGACAUUUUGGCAGUAAUUGCAAAGCUUCUUCCGGUUUGGGAAUCUAAUUUAAUUAGAUUGGCGAGACUUGAUUUUAGAUGUUUCUCCUCAAUACCAAUUCAAAACUUAAUACUUACUUUGCUUUUGUUUCCUGGUAAUAACUGGUUUACGGCCCUGAGAAGAAAAACUGGGGCCAAUAAAACAAGCUGGAUUAGCCUGGUUCUUCACUG